GGGGUAAAAUUAAUAAAUAAAAUUAUAAUAAAAGAAAUUUUAAUAUUAAAAAUAUAUAAUGGGGGUUAAAGUAUUUUUAAUAGAAAAAAUUUUAUAUUUUAUAGUUUAAUAGUAUUGUGAAAGAAAUUUGAAAUAUUAAUGAAAAUAAAAUUAAUAGAAAGUAAAUUUUAUCUAUUGUAUCUUGUGUAUCAGAGUUUAUUAAUAAUUAUUUAUAUUAUAAAAUUCUCGAAUUUAAAAGAGUUAAUUAAUUAAAAAAUUUAUUGUUUUAUAAAUAUUUUAAAUAAUUAAUUAGAAAUGAAAUGUUAAUCGUUUUUAAAUAUAUCUAGUUUUUUUAGAAAAAAAUUUAAUUUUUAAUUAUUUUAAAAAUUUAUUUAAUAAUAAAAUAGAUUUUUGAAUUAAUUUAAUAUUUUAAGGGAUAAGCUUUAAAUUAAAUUUUUAUAAUUUUUAAAUAAAAAUUAAGAAUUUUAUGAUUUAUAUUGUUAAUAAAUUUUAUUUUAUUAUAAAUAAUUUUAAUGAAUUUAAGAUUUAAUUUAAAAUUUAAUUUUUUAUAGAAAAAUAAUUUUUAAUUAUAAAAAAUUAAUUAUAAUGAUAAAAUUAGUAUGUAAAUAAUUAAAAUAAUUAAAAUUAAUAUUUAUGAUAGUUAUUUUAAAGGAACUCGACAAAUAAAAAAAUAUAUAAUAUAUUUAUUUAUGUAAUUUUAUGUUAUGUAAUAGUUAUUUAUAUUAAUUUGUUUAACUAUAUUCACCUGUUUAUCAAAAACAUGUCUUUUUGAAUAUAAUUUAAAGUCUAAUCUGCCCACUGAUUUUAAAAAAUUGAAGGGCUGCAGUAUAUUGACUGUACAAAGGUAGCAUAAUCAUUAGUCUCUUAAUUGGUGACUUGUAUGAAGGAUUGGAUGAAAUAUAAAUUGUCUCUAAAUUAUAUAAUUGAAUUUAAUUUUUUAAUUAAAAAGUUAAAAUAAAUUAAAAAGACGAGAAGACCCUAUAGAGUUUUAUAAUUUAUUUAUUAUAAAUUAUGAAUUUAUUUAAUAUAUUUAAGAUAAAUUAAUUAUUUUAUUGGGGUGAUAAAAAAAUUUAUUUAACUUUUUUUAAAAAGAAACAUAAAUAAGUGGUUUAUUGAUCCAUUAUUAAUGAUUAUAAGAAAAAAUUACCUUAGGGAUAACAGCGUAAUUUUUUUUUUUAGUACAAAUAAAAAAAAGAGUUUGCGACCUCGAUGUUGGAUUAAGAUAAAAUUUAAAUGCAAAAGUUUAAAAUUUUGAUCUGUUCGAUCAUUAAAAUCUUACAUGAUCUGAGUUCAAACCGGUGUAAGCCAGGUUGGUUUCUAUCUUUUAGCAUAUUUAAUAUUUUAGUACGAAAGGAUCAAAUAUUAUAAUUAAAUUAAAAGUUUUGAAUAUUAUUAAUUUUUAAUAAAUUUUAU
rnacentral:rRNA from 1 species